rnacentral:ncRNA from 2 species
UACGGAGGAUCCAAGCGUUAUCCGGAUUUAUUGGGUUUAAAGGGUGCGUAGGCGGCCUGUUAAGUCAGGGGUGAAAGACGGUGGCUCAACCAUCGCAGUGCCCUUGAUACUGAUGGGCUUGAAUGGACUAGAGGUAGGCGGAAUGUGACAAGUAGCGGUGAAAUGCAUAGAUAUGUCACAGAACACCGAUUGCGAAGGCAGCUUACUAUGGUCCUAUUGACGCUGAGGCACGAAAGCGUGGGGAUCGAACAGG